AUUGAACGCUGGCGGCAGGCCUAACACAUGCAAGUCUUACGAGUGGCGGACGGGUGAGUAAUGUCUGGGAAACUGCCCGCUGGAUGGGGAUAACUACUGGAACCGGUAGCUAAUACCGCAUACCAUCGGAUGUGCCCAGAUGGGAUUAGCUAGUAGGUGGGGUAACGGCUCACCUAGGCGACGUUCCCUAGCUGGUCUGAGAGGAUGACCAGCCACACUGGAACUGAGACACGGUCCAGACUCCUACGAGAGGCAGCAGUGGGGCAUAGUGCAAAACGGGCGCAAGCCUGAGGCAGCCAUGCCGCGUGUAAGAAGAAGGCCGUCGGGUUGUAAAGCACGUGUGGCAGGAGAGCGGGACCUGCAGAGUAAGCACCGGCUCACUACGUGCCAGCAGCCGCGGUAAUAC
rnacentral:rRNA from 1 species